AGCGAACGCUGGCGGCCGGCCUAACACAUGUAAGUCGAACGGCUCUUCGGAGCAGUGGCGGACGGGUGAGUAACGCGUGGGAACGUGCCCUUUGGUUCGGAACAACACAGGGAAACUUGUGCUAAUACCGGAUGUGCCCUUCGGGGGAAAGAUUUAUCGCCAUUGGAGCGGCCCGCGUUGGAUUAGGUAGUUGGUGGGGUAAAGGCCCACCAAGCCUACGAUCCAUAGCUGGUCUGAGAGGAUGAUCAGCCACACAGGGACUGAGACACGGCCCGGACUACGACGGGAGGCAGCAGUGGGGAAUCUUGAGCAAUGGGCGGAAGGCUCAGGGAGCCAUGCGGGGUGAAUGAUGAAGGUCUUAGGAUUGGUCAAUUCUUGCACUGGGGAAGAUAAUGGCGGUAACCGUCGCAGAAGCCCCGACUAACAUCGUGCCAGCAGCCGCAGUAA
rnacentral:rRNA from 1 species